UAUUGAAUUUCUCGGCAGCGAGCAUUUCAAAAGUUCAGAGCAACAAAUCCAACAACUGGACCGUCCAUCAGUUCAACAAUUGAGCAAGAAGUUCCCAACUCCCUGAACUACACCCGCAAAGCGCAUUGGCCGCUAAACAACCAAGCCCAGGUGAGUUCAGAAGCCAGCGCACAGGUCAACAACCAACGAUACCACUGCUCCUGGCCUCUGGAUCACCUGACCACAUACUGCUAUAAAUAGUUCCAGCAUCAGGAGCUUCGCAGAAUCACAAGUAACACCAAAGAUCAACACAUUUAUAGUAGCCCCCUGCAACUGCAAGGAGAAAGUUUCCUGAUUCGCUUACCAUGGCUCGUCAUGGACCUCUUCUCGUUCUGCUGCUAGCCUUGACAGCCCUCAAUAACAGCUUCGCAGCUCGCCAUCUUUUGGACACAGAAGCUGCGCCAGAGGCCGCACCAGCUCAGCCAUCCACACCAGCAGUUCCAACCACACUGCCCCCAGUGCCUUCCAUACCAGCAGUUCCAACCACACUGCCUCCAGUUCCUUCCAUUCCGCUACCAGCGAUGCCAAAGAUGGCAAUCCCACCAAUUCCAUCCAUUCCCAUUCCAAAGGUCACCCUGCCACCAGCAGCCGC
rnacentral:lncRNA from 1 species